UAACCCGGGUGGAAAAACGUUUUAUUAAUUAAUCAAGAUAGAUUAAUUUACCCCCACCCCCCCGUGUCUAAAAUAUUAUAUACGUCAUUGCGUCACGACGUCACGCUGUUCUGCCGUCGCACCGUCACGUGAUAGAGUUGGAUAAACACAGCACAGUUGCUACCGGUAACAGCCGGAGGAGCACGCUGGUUGCUGCAGGUACGUUGCAUCAUUGCUCACUAAUAUAACAUCAUACACGCCGAAACUAAAUGCAACAACUAUCGAAGCUUAGGAGCCGACUACCGGAGCUGCUAAUUGCCUGAAACUGAGCUGUGCGCCACUUGAAUCACUGAAUUGGCCAGGUUGAUGGCGAGCUAAGCCUAGCCUGGGCACAAAGCCUGAGGACCCAGAAAGCAGUCAGCUCUAGUCGGGCUGGUAGGAGGCUUUUGUAUGCAGCCACAUUUUUUUCCCCCCCUAAACCUUUGCCUUGUGACUUCAUCUGCAUAUUAUAGAUGAUGUGCGCUUUCAAAUUAUAUAAUGCCAGUUGAUGAA